rnacentral:lncRNA from 13 species
CUCCUGACGUAAGGUGAAUGCCCAGUGGGUGCCCUCUGCUUCUCAGUUAACUUCUCACAGCAACAUCCUGUCACCGAGAUUGUUUCUUCCAUAUUUGGAGACAAGAAAACAGUGACUCAGCUCUCUCUAAGGAAGCGACAUAUAAGUCAAGCAUGAAAGAUGAAGAGGAGCAGAUUGUAUGCAGAGCAGAGGGAAGAGCAAGCUGAUGGAGGAGACUAACCAGUGAGCUUGAUGGCUCACUUGCCUUUUUGCUUUUCUGGCAUGUUAUGAUGUGGUACUAAAGCCCUUGCCAGAAGCUGCUGCCAUGCCCUUGGACUUCCCAGUCUCCAGAACCAUGAGCCAAAUAAACUUCUUUCCGCUAUAAAUUACUCA